rnacentral:lncRNA from 1 species
CAUCCCAUUUCCAAUUGUUUAAAAUAAUUUAGCAGUUAACAAAAUUUAUAAUAUGAAAGUAUAUAGAAACAAUACGGAAACCAGAAUAACGGUCAAAACAACUCCCAACAGAUCUGGGGUCACGAGUCUAGAGCCUCUAGAUACAACUGAGUAAUGAAUUCACAAUAAUACAGAAGUCUAAAAUACUGAAAGAUAAAGUGGAUAAGGGGAGGAGUCGGGUCCUGCUGACGCCAGGUAGCUACCUCGACGACUCCUGAGAAAUCUGGGAAGCAGUGAACAACUCAACUAAGCUCCCGGAACACCUGAAUCUACACACAUGGUGCAGGGAGUAAAGUGAGUACUUCCAACUCAGUGAGUAAUAAGCAUAUAUAAUGACUGAAGAUGAGAAUCCACGAAAUACCGCAAUGUAAAGCUAUAACUAGCAAUUUAGCAUAAUUAAGGUGAAAUAGAAACAGAACAAAGUUAGGUAGAUCAGAAAAAUAUCAAGACAUGAAUGCAAUGCAAUGCACAUGACCGCUGCGGCGUGCAACCCGAUCCAUUUGGGUACUCGCGCUCAUUGUGGGGGUUCAAACUCCGGAGGAGCUCCUACAGCUCAAACGCAAUAUCAUCGUUGCGGCAUGCAGCCUGACCCACAUUCACUCCAAAAUAUGCAUGUGAGUCACACAGCAAAGUCAAAUUAUAGUUCUUAGUUCCAAUUAUUAAGAAAAAUAUAGUUAAGUUUUUAAAACCUUAGGAAUGUGACUAAGCAUUUUGAAACAGUGUUUAAAACUUAGGACUGAAAUCAUAUAGCAUUCUAAGCAUCAUGGAAGCAGUGAUAAUUAUCCCCAAAGGAUUUAUAUAGUCGGCACACAGCCCAAAUAUAUCAUAAUCUAAGUAGGAUGUUUACUAAUCGGUCUAUAGUCCAAACCACAGCUUGGACACCACUCGGGGCAGACUAAGCCAUAAUCCCCAAUCACAAACGACCUCGUACUUGUCAUGGAGUGCGUAUCUCGCCUCAAUACAGCGUAACAGUGUGAAAUACCGGGGUUUCAAACCCUCAGGUUAUCAUCUACAUCUAUUACUCACCUUUAGCCGGCCGAAGACUAGUUCGCAAUGCCCUUUCUUCUCGAAUCGACCUUCUCACGCGUCGAAUCUAUUCAAAACCAUAAGGAAUACAUUACAAUGUGCCAAAGAGACACAACCCAAUUGUAAAUACUCGAAAACCCCCAAAAAUUACGAAGUUGGCAAAACCCGAGCCUCGGGACCACUUCCCGAAAAUUACAAAAUUCAUAUCAUUGGAUUCCUCGUCUCGCCACGAGUCCGUACAUAUUAAAUUUACUUAAAUCGGAGUUCAAAUGCCCUUUCAAAUCCCAAAUUUAAAUUCUCUUAAGUUUCAAGCCCUAACCUCCAUUUUCCCCUUUAAUUCCUUGAAUUUUCAGUGUUAAUCCAUGAUUUUAUACCAUAAUAUCACAAUCCAAGUCCAAGAAUCCAUACCUGAUGAAAGCCCUAUAAACUCACUUCAAAAUCGCCCAAAAACCUUCUUAGUCUGAAGUCCAAAGUGUUUGUUCUCUCUCAAAAUCACAAAAAUCACUGUUCACUUAAUCAAAGCCCAGAUUCCACUUCUGCGGUUCCAGUUAUCGCUUCUGCGAUACUGCUUCCGCGUCUCAAUAUUCGCUUCUUCAGUUCCAAUUACCGCUUCUGCGUCCCAAUAUCCGCUUUUGUCGUUCUAACUUAACUCCCCCAAGAACGCUUAUGCGACAAGGACCCCGCUUCUGCGGAUCCCCCAAGUCAGCUUCUGCGGCUAAAUGUACCCUUCUACGGACCCGCUAAUGCGAACCAAGUUCUGCGUCUGUGAAACUCCUCAACUACACACCAUUUCGCUUCUGUGCUCCCUUACCCGCUACUGUGGGACUGCUUCUGCGGUCCAUUUUCACAGAAGCACAAAUACCAUAUGACAGCUGAUAAUAGGUGAAUUUAAUUAUAUUCAGGCCCUAAAUAACAUCUUUCUUUUAUAGUUUUGGUAAUAAAAAUGAUAAUAAAAUGCUAUUAUGAGUGCUUUUCCUUGAUUUGCAGGUUAUAUAUGACUAGGGAAGGCUCGGGAGUACUUUUGGAGUCAAAAAUGAAGAAAAAAGGGCCAACCGUGGAAAGUCCUAAGUGAACCACGCCAAAAAUAGGCUGAAGAAUCAGAGGAACUGUUCUGCCGCGAUUCCACCGCGACCGCGGAAAAACUGCAGUGAGAUGCUGUCGCAGACAAUAUGAGUCCGUGAAAAGUCCUAAGUGAACCAUGCCAAAAAUAACAGGCAGAAGAAUCAAAGGAACUGUUUUGUCGCGGUUCCACCGCAACCGCGGCAGAACCGCGGUGAGAUGCUGUCGCGGACAAAAUAAGUAUCAGAGGGGCUGUUUGGCCGCGGUUCUACCGCGAGCGCAAUAGGCGCAGUAAACUUCAUGGACGAAAGUGUCAACACGGGAAUUUUAGCCCUAAAACCUAUUUUAAACACUACACUUCGCCCAAAGGAGGCAUGUAUUCAGUUUUUAGAGUUCUUUGAAGGAAAAACAAUUGUGAGNNNNNNNNNNNNNNNNNNNNNNNNNNNNNNNNNNNNNNNNNNNNNNNNNNNNNNNNNNNNNNNNNNNNNNNNNNNNNNNNNNNNNNNNNNNNNNNNNGAGAGCAUACCCAAACCAUAUUUCUUCUUUUCCUUUGAUUUUAUUAGUAGUUUAUGAUGAGUAUUAAUUUAGUUUGUUUACCCAUAGCGAUGAGUAAUAAAUUCCUUGUCUAAGGUUUUGAUGGAACCUAUUGGGGGAUGAACUGCUUGUUUAUGUGAAUACAAUUUGCUAGUUUCAAUCUAUUUAUUCAACUAUGUUCUUGUUGUAGUUAAUUGACAAGAUCCUCAAUUAGUUGUGCCUAUUUAGUGUGCAUAACUCGAAAGAGAGUGAAUAUUUAGGUUAUUGUUAAAUAACACCACUCUUAAAGUAUAAGAGGAAUCUAUAACUGUGGGUUUAAAGGCGGAAUUAGGGAUAACGAAGCCUUGGGUGCAAUCUUAAGUGAACUGUGUUAAUUAAAGAUAACUAGUGUAUCUCAGGAGAGUGCAAUAGUAUAUUACUGUGAUUACUGGGGAGAGAUUUACGGUAAGAAUAGCGUUCAUGAUUGAUAGAGGUGUGUUGGUAAAUUUGUAUGAAGCAUAAACAGAAAGGAUUCCAUCAAUAGGGGAAAUCAUUACCUUUGCUUUCUCUUAUCAUUGUUUACAACCUUAGUUAUUUAGUUUACAGCUUGUUAUUUUACUGCAAUCCUAGUUCAUAAAGAAAUUUCCAACUGUGAUUUGAAAGUCUUGGGAAGUUGGCUCUGAAGAGUUUAGUGGAUCUAAAGAUAGUGGUUGAUAGGUUAACUCUCUAUGGAUUCGACCCUGGGCGUAAUACUCGGGUUAUAUUUGCAACAUCCGCAGCUUCCUUUCUAGAGGACAUAGUUGGACGUGAUCAAAUUUUGGCGCUGUUGCCGGGGAAUUAACGGAAUUAUCAAUUGCCAUUGCUAGAAACACAAAUUCUUGGUGUAACUAGUUUCUUUACAUCCAGUUUUUGAUUGAAACUUUUGACGGUGGCUGACUUGGUUGCACAGGUGUAUGCCUAGAAAAUCUACAAGGAUUGGAGAACUACUUGAAGGACUCUCAGACCCUGAAAAAAUAUUUCUGGCAUUGAACCGUGCCAACAGAAGACUUCAACCACCUCAACAAACAGACAAAUUUAAAACUGACAUGGAAGACGUAAUCGACCCCAAUGGAAAUGGCAGGCAUAAGCAAGUCAACUUGAAUGUUAGAGAAGCAGCACCUCUUGUGCCCAAGGGUGCACUGUGUGACUGGGCACAGACUACAGCUGCCAAUCUGGCCACUGCCAUAGUUGUGCUUGCCAUACAGGCUGAGUCAUUCCUGAUCACAAACAAUAUGCUACACUUGCUACAAAACAAGGGACUAUUCUCUGGGACACAAAUUGAAGACCCUCAACAACACCUGAAGAAUUUCCUGUCGAUAUGCAAAACUCAAAGGCAACCCAAUGUCACUCCAGAGGAAAUCAGGCUAUUAUUGUUCCCAUUCUCAGUGACGGGAGCUGCACAGGUUUGGCUUAACUCACCCCCCAUAAACUCUAUUGCAACUUGGGAUGAGUUAGUCAAACAAUUUCAUAACAAGUUUCAUCCACCCAGCAAAACUGCCAAACAAAUUGAUGAGAUCGUGAGCUUUAAACAGAAACCGAUGGAGACACUACAUGAAACAUGGGGCAGGUUCAAAGGAAUGUUGGUUAUGUGUCCACAUCAUAGUGUUCCAGAACAGAUAUUGGGACAACGAUUUUAUAUGGGACUGUCAGAUGGGUUGAAGAAUAUUGUGAAUGCCUGAGCUGGUGGGGCAUUCCUGAGGAAGAUAUGGAGAGAAGGUCACAGUUUACUUGAUAAAAUGACACAAAAUUCGGGAUGGACAUUACACCUGUCCAGGAUAGAUGUUGGGACAACGAUUUUAUAUGGAACUGUCAGAUGGGUUGAAGAAUAUUGUGGAUGCCUCAGCUGGUGGGGAAUUCCUGAGCAAGACAUGAAGAGAAGGUCAGAGUUUACUUGAUAAAAUGGCACAUAAUUCGGGAUAGACAUCCAGAAAUGUACCAAUCACUCCAGUAGUGCACUCAGUGCCUCUUGAUCCUUCAAACAUUAUGGCUGAAAAUAUGGCAAAUCUCCUGACACAAAAUGAGCAUCCUCACCAAAAAGGUGGAGGAAUAAGGGCAGAAGCAGCAGGUACAUAUAGUUGACACUACCAAUGGGGGCUUGUGCACAUCUUGCAUUAGCCAUCCAAUUGGUAAUUCUUGGAAUGCAGAGCAUGAUCAUCACCACCAGCACCCCAAAGAUAUGAACUAUGUGACUAACUAUGGGGGCAGAGAUAGGGAAAUUAGAACUGGGGAAAUUGGUAAUCCUUGGAAUGUAGAGCAUGAUCAUCACCACCAACACCCCGAAGAAAUGAACUAUGUGGCUAACUAUGGGGGCAUAGACAUGGAAAUCAGAAAUGGGGACAUCACACUCGGUAGCAGUAUAUGCCACCUCAACCACAGUAUAACGCCGGAAACAUGGGAGGUAUGAGACCCCCCACCAACAUGGAACCAUAUCCUAGACCACAUGGGUACAAUAAUCAGCAGCAGGGGUACAAUAAUCAGUAGCAAGGGUACCAUCUACCUUAGCAACAGCAUGGUAGGAGACAAGAUGAUGGGUUUGCUAGACUAGAAGCAAUGAUGCAGCAGGUUAUUGGGUCCACUGCAAAGAUAAAUGAGCGAGUAGACGCACAUGACCCAGCUAUCAAAAAUAUUGAAGUGCAAGUGGGCCAAAUUUCAAUGUCUUCUAACAACCAUCCUCAAGGGACACUACCUGCAGAUACCCAAAUCAUAUGAUGCAGCUAUCAAAAAUAUUGAAGUAAAAGAGGGCCAAAAUUCAAUGUCUCUGAGCAACCGUCCUCAAGGGACACAACAUGCAGAUACCCAAAUCAAUCCUAAAGAUCAGGGCCCGAAGCAGCUGAUGACGGUGAGUCUCUGUAAUGGCAGGGAUCUUGAUGUAGAGCAGGAGAGAGCUCGUGACAAUAUACAUGCUGAGACACUCAUUCACAUACCAAUCAAUUCUGAUCGCACUCCUAAGUCACAAAUUAUUCCUUGAAGUUAACCAAAUUACCGGAAUUCACAUCUGAUCCCUCUAACUUAAUAGUCAACAUCUGGUUGACUUUUCCAAUAUAAACCUUCGUUAAGGAGACUAAAUAUUUCAUUUCCUACCAAAACCAAACCAAUUCGACUCAAACUCACCUAAUGCUGAUAAUGAAACAUGAAUAAUAAAAUAAACGGGAAAAACGGGCAGUAACACAUGAGAUGACGGGUCGGGUCGUCACAUCCUCCCCAACUUAAACAAACGCUCGUCCUCGGCAUAAAGAAGCAGAAAAUGGGGAAAACAGGGCGGUAACUCAUGAGACGGAAGAUUGGAUCGUCAUAUCCUCAUCAACUUAAACAAAUGCUCGUCCUCGAGGGGGUCAAGAAACAUACCUGAAACCUCAAAUAGGUGAGGAUAUUUGCUUCGCAUAUCCUGCUCGGUCUCCCGAAUGGCCUCCUCCAUGGGACAAACUCUCAAAUAGGUGAGAAUACAGAGGCUUAGUUCACGAAUCAACAAAGUCGCACAACAAGAAUUUCAAGAAUGUGAAGUGUUUCCUAAAAGUUUUGUAGCCUCUCGAGGAUAAAUACAGACGUCUCCAUACCGAUCCGCGAGACUCUACUAAACCGUCUCAUGACUCACAAAGCCUAGUAACCUAGGCUCUGAUACUAACUUGUCACGACCCCAAACCCGGUCAUGAUGGUGCCCAACAUAAAUACUAGGCAAGCCUGACCAAUUAUCACUCACAACCCAAUUACGCAUCCCAUUUCCAAUUGCUUAAGUUAAUUUAGCAGUUAACAAGAUUUAUAAUCCGAAGGUAUAUAGAAAUAACACGAAAACCAGAAUAACGAUCAAAAUAACUCCCAGCUGAUCUGGGGUCACGAGUUUAGAGCCUAUAGAUGCAACUGAGUAAUGAAUCCACAAUAAUACAGAAGUCUAAAAUACUGAGAGAUAAAGGGGAUAAGGGGAGGAGUCGGUUGUGCGGAUGUUAGGUAGCUACCUCGAUGACUCUUGAGAAAUCUUAGAAGCUGCGAACAACUCAACGAAGCUCCCAAAACACCUGAAUCUGCACACAUGGUGUAGGGAGUAAAGUGAGUACUUCCAACUUAGUGAGUAAUAAGAAUAUAUAAUGACUGAAGAUGAGAAUCCACGAAAUAGAGCAAUGUAAAGCUAUAACUAUCAACUUAGCAUAAUUAACGGUGAAAUGACAACAAAACAAAGUCAGGUAUAUUAGAUAAAUAUCAAGACAUGAAUGCAAUGCAAUGCACAUGACCGAUGCGGCGUGAAGCCCAAUCCAUUUGGGUACCUGUGCUCACUGUGGGGGUUCAGACUCCGGAGGGGCUCCUACAGCCCAAACGCAAUAUCGUAGUAACACAGACUGCAGCGUGCAACCCGAUCCACUAUCAGUCCAGCUACAUGCAGGCAAGCCUCACAUGCAUAAAUAAUUUACCGUUUUUAGUUCCGUUUAUUAGUAAUUAUAGAAUUAGGUGUUUUGUAUCAUUGCUGCGGCGUGCAGCCCGGUCCACACUCAGUCCAGAAUAUGCAUGUGAGUCACACAGCAAAGUCAAACUAUAGUUCUCAGUUCCUAUUAUUAGGAAAAAUAUAGUUUUGUUUUUAAAACAUUAGGAAUGUGACUAAGCAUAUAGAAACAAUGUUUAAAACUCAGGACUGAAAUCAUAUAGCAUGCUAAGCAUCAUGGAAGCAGUCAUAAUAAUCCCCAAGGGAUUCAAAUAGUCGGCACACAGCCCAAAUAUAUCAUAAAAAUCCAAGUAGGAUGUUUACUAAUCGGUCUAUAGUCCAAAGCACAGCUUGGACACCACUCGGGGUGGACUAAGCCAUAAUCCCUAAUCACAAACGACCCCGCACUCUUCAUGGAGUGCGUGUCUCGCCUUAAUACAGUGUUAUAGCGUGAUAUACCGGGGUUUCAAACCCUCAGGUCAUCAUAUACAUCUAUUACUCACCUCUAGCCGGCCGAAGACUAGCUUGCAAUGCCCUUUCCUCUUGAGUCGACCUCCUCAUUCGUUGAAUUUGAUCAAAACCAUAAGGAAUACAUAAUAAUGUGCCAAAGAGACAUAACCCAAUCGAAAAUACUCGUAAAAUACCAAAAAUCACAAAGCUGGCAAAACCCGAGCCUUGGGCCCAGUUCUCGAAAAAUUACAAAAUUUACAUCAUCGGAUUUCUCGUCUUUCAACGAGUCAGUAUAUGUCAAAUUUACCAAAAUCGAAGUUCAAAUGCCCUUUCAAAUCCCUAAUUUAAACUCUCUUAAGUUUAAAACCCUAACCUCCAUUUUCCUCUUUAAUUCCUUGAAUUUUCAGUGUUAAUUCAUGAUUUUUAAACCAUAAUAUCAUAAUCUAAGUCCAAGAAUCCAUACCUGAUGAAACCCUCAAAAAUCUCUUCAAAAUCUCCCAAAAACCCUCUUCGUCCGAAGUCCAAAGUGCUUGCUCUCUUUCAAAAUCGCGCAAAUUACUGUUCACUUAAUCACAACCAAGAUUCCGCUUUUGCGAUUCCAAUUACCACUUUUGUGGUACCUCUUUCGCGUCCCAAUAUCCACUUCUGUGGUUCUAACUUAACUCCCCCAAGACCGCUUAUGCGACAAGGACCUCGCUUCUGCGGAUCCUCCAAAUCCACUUCUACGGCUAAAUGUCCGCUUCUACGGACCCACUAAUGCGGACCAAGUUCCACUUCUGUGAAACUCCUCAACUACACACCAUUUCGCUUCUGUGCUCCCUUACCCACUUCUGCGGGACCGCUUCUGCGGUCCAUUUUCGCAGAAGCAGAAAUACCAGAUGACAGCAAACAUAAACCUGUAGCAAAACUCCAAAACUCUUGUUAAAUCACCCGAUCUCACCUCGAGGCCCCCAGGACCUCAACAAAAGCAUAGACAUGAUCUAUUAACUUAUUCAAACUUGCUCGAAUCAUCAGAACUCUACCAUUAAUAUGAAAAUUCUCAAAUUUCAUCAAAUCAAAGCCUAAGUUCAACCAAAACUUCUGAAACUCGCAUUCGAUCAAAAACCCGACCUAAGCACCUCCGAGUAACCUAAAACUUUGCACACAUAUCCAAAAUCACCUAACGGAGUUAUUGCAUCUCUCGGAAUUUCAUUCUGAUCCUCGGACCAAAAUCUCACAUAUCCAACGAAAUUUGCCAAAAUACUAAUUUCGCUAUUUCAAGCCUAAUUCUACACCAGACCUCCAAAAUCAAUUUCGAUCGCACUUCUAAGUCACAAAUCAUUCCGCAAAGCUAACUGAAUCACCGAAAUUCACAUCCGAUCCCUAUAAAUCAAUAGUCAACAUCCGGUUGAUUUUUGUCAAUAUAAGCCUUCCUUAAGGAGACUAAAUGUCUCAUUUCCUACCAAAACCAAACCAAUUUGACUCUAGCUCACCUAAUGCCAAUAAUGAAGCAUGAAUAAACAAAUUAACGGGGAAAAUGGGAAAAUGGACAGUAACACAUGAGACAACGGGCCGGGUCAUCACAUUCCACUUAUCGUGCUCAUGAGUCUUUGUUUAUUCCUUAGACUAUUAAAGCUAAGAAGGCACAAUUGGUGAAAUAUAAAAUAAAUAGAUUACUAGUAUCAUUUCACAUAUGAAUUUUUUUCUCCGAGUGAUUUGGCUGGUUGAAUUAAAUUAGAUUUUAAUUUCACAAAGUAAAAAAUUUGGUUAGAGGACCAAUGAACGUGAGAAUGGGACUCAGAAUAUGAGAAAGCAAUAUAAAUGUUACAUCCCAUAUUUUCGUACGUAAAAUACAUCAUAAGUCAAUUGAAGAAAGCUCGUAAAUGAGAUUUUAUUUAAAGUAUAUAAAGUAAGUUAAUUGUGUAAAAUUUGAGGUUACAAAUAUUUAAUAUCAUGACAACAAGUAACAAGAAGGUUGGCAUGUUUAGAAGCUAAAUGAAUUGAAGAAAAUAAGUUUUAUGGAAAGUCAACAAGUUGGGAAUAUUGUAACAUGUACUUUUAGAGUUAGAGUGGGUACUUAUCAUGAUAAAGAGGUUAUUUUAUGAGUUAUUAGUCGUAUGACAGUCGUGUGUUAUAUUUUCAAGACAAGUGAGUUGUGGAACAAAAGUUGGCAAAGGUCAUUAUAAGUUACAUUCAUAAAUAUGCUGGAAAUUAGGUCAAAUGUAGCAGAUCUUUUCUCUCAACAUUUUAAGAUUUAGAGGGUGAUCUACCUAUCAUAUUGAAGAUCUACAAGUCUUGUUCUCAAUGCACUAACCCGUUUAUCGAUACGACAUCGGAGUAGAGAUAUAUUCACAUUUUUGCGAGACUGCGCAAGCAGCUCCCUUGGGACCCACAAAGUCAGUGAAAAAGUCCAGCUCAUAUUUAAGUCAAUAAUAACUCAUUUUAACUCAAUUUUCUCGACCAAAACAGUUCCUAAGCUCUCAUAGAUUCUCUCCAUGAAAUCUCCAUGAUUCUAGAGUGAAAACCAAAUAUAAAAACAUGAAUAAUUCUAGAAAUCCGGUGGUGUUUGUUAUAUCAUAGUUCAUUUUGUGAUUGUUUUGGAGGAUUCUUCAAAGUGAAGCAACCUCAGAUUUCAUGUUGUUCUUGUUUUAAGUUAAGAAUCAGUCCCUCCAUCAUAUAUAUUAGGAUUUCAAGGUGAAAUACAAGUUUUUACACAUCAACUUGUACACGAAAGUAGAUUCAAGAAGAGAAUACAACUCCUAUAGUGUUGUGGUGUGAUUGAGGGUUGUUGUGAGCAACACCAGCUGAGGAUUUCAAGUUAUAUCUACUUUCUAAGAUAAGUAAAUCAUUUUCUUGUUGUGCUUAAGAUUAAUCAUGUGUUGAUUGAGUUGUUUGAAUAAAAGUCUACAAGAUAAUAAUUGACAUAAUGAAUCAUUAUUUUUUUGUGGGUUGUAUUGAGACAAUAUAUAUGGUUUGUUGUAGCUUAAAAUUAUUAUAAAUGGUUUGAUUAUUUUAUGGCUAUUGUGGUUAAGAUUAUCUAUGUUCUAAUUAAGUUGAUUGAAGAAGAUAACAUGAAAAACUAGAGAUUGACGAUAAAGGUUAAGGUGUUAGGCGUGUGGACUAUUAUUGAAGAUUAUUCUUAUGAUGUUUUGGGCAGAAAAUGAUAUGGUAAGCAUAAGUAUGAUGUUAUAGAUGUUGUAGGAAGAUUUAUAUAAAAGGAAUUGGAUUCAAAUCGUAUUAUUUUAAUCGUAAAUCAAGCUUGCCACUCAAAAUGGUUGUUGAAGUAAUCGGAGAGCUUAUUAUGAAUUAUAUUAUUGUUGUUUUGGUUGUUUGAUGACUUUUGGUAACUUAUGGGAUGUAGUACAAAUAGGGGAGGUGCUCUUCGUUUUCUUGUAGAAUAUUGGUUUCAAAAUAUGAGAACUACAACGCUUAUAUGAAGACGAUAAAAUCGGUUUACUCAUUGCAGACGUAAGAAGAUCAUAUUGAGCUUGGUUGAUGAUUGGAGAAAAGAUUUCAAAGGUAUGUUAAGGCUAUCCCUUCUUUCUUUUUGGCAUGGUCCAUAUGAUACAAUAGAAAUGAGCAAACACGCAACUUUAACAAAUGACUCUAUUCUUAGAAGUGUCAGGGGUGCCUAUAUUCUCGAUUUUCCAUGUGUCUUAUUAUUAUAUCAUCUACUCAUGAGUCUCAGAAAAUACGUAAGUUGAUAAAAUAUAUUUUGUAAAAUGAAUCGAAGGCAUAUUGAUCUUAUGACAUUCCGAGAGAUCUUAUUGACUUACUUUAUUAUGCAUUGUAUUCAUUUAUACUUGUACAUUGAAAAUAUGACAUUAUAUACGCUCAUAUUAUAUGUAUAUGACGUAUGGGAAAAGGUUACGGUGUUAUAUACAUACCACCACCUGAUCAACUAGCUUAAGUUGAUGAUUUCGCGCACUGAGGUCGAGAUGAUAUGAUGGGAUGCCUUCGAGGCUUGAUGAUAUUAUGCACGCAUAUACCUAUGCAUGAUAUGACAUUUAUAUGUACAUAUAUAUGAUACUAUAAAUGUUCCAUGUCACUGAGCUAUUCAGACUUAUAGGUUGAAUCCAUCUGUAAUAUCCUAAAAUUAAAAUAAGGGCAUAAUUGCCAUUUAGAACAACUUUAAAAAAAAUGUAUAAAACAUAUAUUGGGCCGAAGCCACUGCCUGAUGGCUGAUGCCAUGAAGUCUUAAGGGUUUUGUAAAGAUAAAGUGUAUUAGCCACUAAAAUAAAGAAGAAGAAAAAGGAAAUGUAUUAAUAUUUGGGCAAAAGACAAAGACUUUGAUCGGCCAAGCAACUCAAAGCAAUUGAAAUUGAAAACAAGGAAGGAAUUCUCUGAAAAUUAACCGUGAAGGAAAAAAGAAUGGCUGAUCAAAUAACUUUUGUGGUGGAAUCUUGUGUCAUGGAAUACAGAAGCGAAGGCAAAGAAUAGAAGCAACCUUUCAGUCCCAAAGUAAUUUUUCUUACUUACGGUUUGCUUGAGUUUACUCGUUAUAAAAAUUUUAUUGGGUAAUGAAUAUUAAAUACCAAUUAUAUACAUAUAGACAACAACGCUAUUAAAUUUGGGCUUAUUCACAUGUUUAAGAGAAAAAUAUUUUGUUGAACAAUACCAUGAAUAUAUGACAACUUUUUAAUAGAAGAAUAUUGAGUGUGUUGAGUAACCCGAAGCAUGGAUAGAUAUUAAUUGGAUGAAUUGACAAUUAAAGAUGGUUGGAUAUUCUAAAUUAGUUAUGAAUUAACUUAAAGAAGGCAACUAACACAUUCAUGUGAUGUGAUUAUAGACUGAAGAAAGUCGUAUGGAGUGUUUGAGGUGACGCAUUUAAUAUUUCAGCACGAGUACUUAGUAAUUUUACGGUAAUUUAUGUUUUCACAACUUGCAUGAUUUAUGUAUGAUUUUAAUAUAAAUAUAUUACCGAUUAUUUUGAAUUGUAUGUGGGACAAGUCUUUUACUCGAUGUGAUACAAAAAUAGUUAUUUGACAUGAUUACCAUUAUUUUAAAUAUUCCUGUUGUCACUAGAUAUGUUUUACCAUUACUUGAAUUUACUGGUAUCGAAAUGAAAUUUCAUGAUUUGAUAAGACCGAAAUUCCGUAUAUUAUUUAAAAAUAUUUUUCUAUGAGUAUAUACGGAUACAGAGACAAGUAUAAAUGGGAGUAGAGUUUGAAGGAUCUCGUAGCUAACAACAGGUUCAUUAGACCUGGUUCACCUUGUAAUUACUGAUUACCAUGGGAAAGUAGAACUAACAUACCAUUACUGAUUUACCUCAAGCAGGGACUACCAUUAUAUUUGACUUCUUGCGAAGAAGUCCACAGUUAUACCGAUUACAUGUUGCGUUGAUCGAAACCUCCCAAAUGUGAAUAUCGAUAUCAUACAGUGGUUAUCGAGCUUAUUACUGAACUAUUAAUUGUAUUAUAUUACAAGGAAAGCAUGAUGAGACUGAAAAUUAUUUAUUAUUUCUGAAAGGGCAUUCUUUUAUUAUUUUCUAUUUGAGAUACUAGCAUGUUUUCUAACUUGUCCCUAAUAAAAACGGUUAUGGUUAAGUAUUAUUACACAUUGAGCUAGCGACUCAUUCCCCGCUAAUUUUUUUUACAAAGACAGCAGUGGAUGCGAGCGAGGAUUCUGUUAAUUAGAGCGCACAAGUUGAUAACUCUUGGUGAGCCUCGCACUUGUUCCAGUGGGCGGAGAUUUUAUCAAUUGUUAUUGUCUUUUCUUUGAACUCUUAGAGUCGUUCCAUGGUCAUUCUUUUAGUUUCUUGAGUAUUCUUUGUUAUUAUAGACUAAUUUUGAGUAUCGCUCAUUCUUAUCAAAUUUGGAGAUAAAGUAGUAUUUCUAGUUGUUAGUGGAUGGACUAUUAAAGGUAGAUAUUUAUUUUGGUUAAUAUAUAAAGUCAUUGUCAUUUGAAUAGCUAUUAGGAGGUUUGGUUGCUGAUUUGAAACAAGAAAAUUUUGGAAUAUUCCAAAAACAUAAAUUGGGUCGUGACACUUUUCUCCAUUUUUUUAAUGUCUUUUAUAUACUGUUUUCAUGCCAUACAUACUCGAUACAUUAUCCGUACUGAAGCUACUUAAGCCUGGGGGCCUGUGUUUCAUGCAUGCAUGUCCUUAUAGACAACUGGAUAGACCUUUCCAAUAGAUAGAGCCAAACAUCAGCUUGUAAGCUCCAUUUCCCCAGAGUUACCAGUUCUAUACCUUAGAGUCCAUUUUAUAUAUACAGGUACAAUGGGUAGGUCAGGGUCUUGUCCCGGUCAUGAUAGAGUUUACUUAUCUCUAGACGCUUGCAGAUGAGUUAUGUAUAUUUUGUAUACAUAGUUAUAUAUAUGAACUUUUGGGUAUGUUUACCCCUAAGAUGAGAGAAACUUUAUUUUCAAAUGAUUCAGAAUAUGGUCAUCUCGGUCUUGAUUGGUAUUGUCAGCUCGCAGGUAGGCCUCAUCGGCCUAUGUUGAGGCCUACCUCUUCAGAGUUCACAGUUAUAGAGUGCUACGCUCGCUUCGAGUUUGGCACCGCGUGCCGGCCACGCCUCCCCAGGUUUUGGGUGUGACAAACUUUGUAUCAAAGCAAUUCUGUCUUAGGGAGUCUACAAGCCCUGUCUAGUAGAGUCUUGUUUAUGGGUGUGUUGUGCCCCACACUUAUAAACAGAAGGCUACAUGACAUGACUAUCACUCUUUCUUCUUACUCUAGAUUAUAUUGUCAUUUGUAAGAAUUCAAACUCCUAAAUUCUAUUUUAUUCGUAAUACAACAAUAUCUACCUCCAAAAAUACAGUUGGUAAGAGAUUGAAUAUGGUUGUGGAAGAGUUGCGUUGAAUAUGGUGUUGGAAGAGUUGCGUCAGAGGAACUCGAUUUUGCAUCAUGCUUAUGAUGAGUAAACAUGAGUUUUCAGUAGAUCAUGUGUGUACUAAGAUGUGUAAGCUUCUUGAUAAGGAACGCUAAGGCAAGAAUAUCUAUCCACCCAUAUGGUAAAAAGAAAUAAGAGGAUCAGAAGGUAGAUACAAGUUUCAGCAAGUAAAAGAGCCAAGAGGUCUCAAAAGUCUAGUCAUUAUUCUGGUGCCCGUGCCUAUGCCUCAGCUGUACGUCAUCAUGGUAGGGGUUAUAUGGUUCGCCCUGUUCAUUCAGCUCUUCUAGUAACCACUGGUAUUCUAGCUCCUCCUAGGCCUCAGGAGCCUUAUAAUGCACCUCUGGUUUCUAGCACGCCUCCUCCACUAGGUGCUUUUAGAGGUUAGUCCAGCAUACCUGGCCUAAGCCAGUCACAACUGUCACGUCCUUCCAAAACUAGUUUUGAGUGUGGUGACACACGCCAUAUGGUAAGGGAUUUCCCAGAACUUGAUAGGGGUACACCUCCACAAACUUCUCAGCCACAACCUGCCCCACAGAGUUCUCAAGCUAUGGUUACAACACCAGUUGCUACCCCACCUGCUCAGCCAUUUAGAGGUGGAGGUCGGGGAGGUAAAGGUCACCCUAGAGGGGGAGGCCAAGCCAGAUACAAUGCCCUUCCUGCCCGUACCGAGGCUGUUGCCUCUGAUUCUGUUAUUAUAGGUAUUAUACUGGUUGUCACAUAGAUGAAACGGUUCUAUUUGAUCCAUGUUCCACUUAUUCUUAUGUGUCUUCUUAUUUUGCUCCGUAUUUGGGUGUACCUCAGGAUUCUUUGAGUUCCCCUGUUUAUGUUUCUACUCGUACGAGAUUCUCUUGUUGCGGACCGCGUGUAUCGGUCGUGUUUAGUUGCUCUUAGUGGUUUUGAGACUAGGGACGAUUUAUUAUUACUUAGCAUGAUUGAUUUUGAUAUUAUCCUGACUGGUUGUCGCCCCAUUAUGUAUUGAUUAUCGCUGGUUGAACAAAGUUACAGUGAAGAACCGGUAUCCUUUGCCUCAUAUUGAUGAUCUGUUUACCAGUUACAGGGUACAUGGGUGUUUUCUAAGAUUGACUUGCAUUCAGGUUACCAUAAAUUGAAGAUUCGGGAGCCAGAUAUCCCGAAGAUUACUUUCAGGACUCGAUAUGGUCAUUAUGAUUUCCUUGUCAUGUCAUUUGGGCUGACUAAUGCCCCUAGCAGUCUUCAUGCAUUAGAUGCACAAUGUGUUCUUGUCGUAUCUUGACUCGUUCAUCAUUGUCUUUAUUGAUGAUAUUCUGGUGUAUUCCCGGAGUUGGGAAUAUUAUGAGCAGCACCCGAGGACAGUGCUUCAAACUUUGAGGGAAAAGAAUUUGUAUGCAAAGAUCUCAAAAUCUGAGUUUUUGUUGGAUUCUGUGGCUUUCUUGGGUCACGUGGUAUCGAGUGAGGAUAUAUGGAUGGAUCUGAAUAAAGUAGUGGUGGGGCAGAGUUGGCCCAGACCAUCUCAGCCAUAGAGAUCCGCUAUUUUCUUGGCUUAGCAGGCUAUUACCGUCUAUUUGUUGAGGGGUUUUCAUCUAUUGCAGCACCUAUGACCAGCUGACCUAGAAGGGUGCUCCAUUUCAGUAGCAGGAAGAGUGUGAGGCGAGCUUUUAGGAGAUCAAGACAGCUUUGAUUACAGCCCCAGUUUUGAUAUUGCCUACAAGUUCGGAGUCUUAUACUAUCUAUUGCGAUGCCUCAAGGAUUGGCCUUGGAGCGAUUUUGAUGCAGGACGAUAGGGUGAUUGCCUACGCGUUCAGACAGUUGAAGGUAUAUGAGAAGAAUUAUCAUGUCCAUAAUCUCGAGUUAGCUUCCAUUAUUCACGCCUUAAAUAUCUGGCAUCAUUAUUUGUAUGGUGUUCCUUGUGAGAUUUAUACUGAUCGUCGGAGCCUGCAGCAUCUGUUCAAGCAAAAGGAUCUAAAUUUGCGCCAGAGGAGAUGGUUAUAGUUGUUGAAGGAUUAUGAUAUCACUAUUUUAUAUCACCCCGGCAAGGCCAAUAUGGUGGCAGAUGCCUUGAGUCGCCGGGCAGAGAGUUUGGGGAGUUUGGCUUUUUUACCAGCAUCAGAGAGGCCUAUGGCGACGGAUGUUCAGGCCUUAGCCAGCUAGUUUGUGAGAUUGAAUCUUUCGGAGCCUAGUCGGGUUCUAGAUUGUGUGGUUUCUCGGUCUUCCUUAUUCGAUCGUAUCAGGGAGUAUCAGUAUGAUGACCCUCAUUUGCUUGUCCUCAAGGACAAGGUUCACCAUGGUGAUGCUAAAGAUGUGACUAUUGGUUAUGAUGGGGUAUUGAGGAUGUAGGAUCGGGUCUUUGUACCCAAUAUUGAUGGGCUUCGAGAGUUGAUUUAGAGGAUGCCCAUAGUACGCGGUAUUCCAUCUAGGUGUCACGAAGAUGUAUCAGGAUUUGAGAUAAACUAUUGGUGGAGGUGGAUGAAGAAAGAUAUAGUUGGAUUUGUAGCUCGGUGCCUUAAUUAUCAGCAGAUAAACUAUUAGCACUAGAGACCGAGUAGGUCGCUUUAGCAGAUAGAAAUUCCAGAGUGGAAGUGCGAGAGGAUCACCAUGGAUUUCAUAGUUGGAUUCCCACGGGAUUUGAAGGAAUUCGAUGCCAUUUGGGUGAUUGUGGAUCGGCUGACCAAGUCCUCACACUUCAUUCCUAUUAUUUCAUAUAGAGGUACUCAGUUCACAUCACGGUUCUAGAGGGCCGUUCAGCAUGAGUUGGGUACUCGAGUGGAGUUGAUCACAUCAUUUCACCCUCAAAUGGACUGACAGUUUGAGCGCACUAUUCAGAUUCUUGAGGAUGUGCUCCGUGUGUGUGUGAUUGAGUUUGCAGGGUCUUGGUAUCAGUUCUUUCCAUUGGCGGAGUUUUCCUACAACAACAUCUAUCAAUCCACCAUUCAGAUAGCACCGUAUGAGGCUUUAUAUGGUAGGCGGUGUAGAUCCCUGAUGGAUUGGUUGGAGCUGGAUGAGGCUAGAUUAUUGGGUACAGACUUGGUUCAAGAUGCUUUAGAGAAGGUUAAGGUAAUUCAGGAUAGACUCCAUACAGCCCAGUCCAGACAGAAGAGUUACUUAUACCGGAAGGUUCGUGAUAUUCCUACAUGGUUGGAGAGCGGGUUAUGCUUCGGGUUUCUCCUAUGAAGGGUGUUAUGAGAUUUGGAAAGAAGGAGAAGUUGAGCCCGAGGUUUAUUGGCCCUUUUGAGAUAUUGAGGCGUGUUAGGGAGGUUGCUUAUGAGCUCGGCAUACCUCCCAGCUUGGCAGGAGUUUAUCCGGUAUUUCAUGUUUUGAUGCUCCAAAGGUAUCACGGUGAUCCGUCUCAUAUGUUGGAUUUUAGUUCUGUCCAAUUGGACAAAGAUAUAUCUUAUGUUGAGGAGCCAGUGGCGAUAUUGGACAGGCAGGUUCGAAAGCUGAGUUCAAAGAACAUUGUAUCAGUAAAGGCUAAGUGGCGGCGUCAGCUGGUCGAGGAGCCGACCUGGGAGAUCGAGCAGGAUAUGCACAGCCGUUACCCUCAUCUUUUUACUAUUUCAGUAUGUCUCUAUGGUCAUUCGAGGACGAAUGAAUGUUUAAGUGUGGGAGGAUGUAACUGACCCGACCGGUUUGUUUAAGAAUUUACACCCCGAUCCCCUAUUAAUUGCUUUCCCCCUGUUUAUUUCUGCUAUUUUGUUUUGCAGGUAUGUACGGUUUUGAGUUUCAAAGAGUUUUGGGAAUAGCCAUAAAUGAGAGCUUAAAUUUUAGAAAGUUGAUCGUAGUCAGAAUAAUGUGAAGACGUCCUCGGAAUGGAAUUUUGAUGGUUCUGCUAGCUCCGUUGGGUGAUUUCCGGCUUAGGGGCGUGAUCAGGUUGUGUUUUGGAGGUCCGUAGCUAAUUUAGGCUUGAAAUACCGUAAGUUGAAUUUUUGAAGUUUCUAGUUCGAUAGUGAGAUUUUGAUCCGAGGGUCAGAAUGGAAUUUCGGAAGUUGGAGUAGCUCUGUAGUGUUGAAAGUUAUGCGUGGUCAUUUAGACGAGGUUUGAUAUAUAGACUUUUUAAUCGAAAGUGUAUUUUGAGAGUUUUGGAAGUCCUUAGGCUCGAAUACAUGGUUCAUUCGAUGUUUCGAUGUUGUUUUGGGUGAUUUAAGUAUUGGUAUAAGUUUUAUUAGUGGCAUAGGACUUGUUUGUGCUUUUGGUUGAGGUCGCGGUGACCUCGAGAUGAUUUGGGGUGGUUAACCAGAAUUUUGUAGUUGAGAGUUUGCAGUUGAAGUUUCAAAUCUGCUGUCAUAACCGCAUCUGCGGUUUGGGGACCGCAGGUGUGAGCCCGUAGAAGCAAUGAGGGAAGCUGCAGAUGCGGCCAAGAGAAAGAUGGGCAGGAUCCACAGAUGCGGGAGUUAGGCAGGCCACACCUGCGAGGUCGUAGGUGCGGGAAACAUGUCAUAGGUGCGAAAAAAGGCUGAGUUAGAAACUUGUCGCAAAUGCGACCGUUGGUCCGCAAAAGCGGGAGCGCAUGAGCAGUCCCUUCACUUCAGAAGCUUAUUAGCUAGGCAGAAAUAUAUAAAUUCUUGCCUUUGUGAAUUUGAGCUAUUUUUCACCUCUUUGCAAACGGGAAGAAGCCUUGGGGAGUAUUUUCAAGGGGGAUUUUCAGAGGAAUUCAUUGGGGUAAGGUCUUUUGUCCCUAACCGCGUUAUUAGUGUAAUAUUUAUCAUUAUAAACAUGAAUAAUUAAGGAAUAAUCAGUGGUAAUUUGGGGGUUAGGGCUUGACUAAUUAGAGACCUUCAAGUGAUGAUUUGAUGGACCAUUUGAGGUCUAAUUUUGGUACUUUUGAUUUGACUGAGCUGAGUCAUGAUAGCACGGGUAGGUUCUCGAGGUGUUAAACACUAAUUUUAACCACUUUAGGCAGUUCUUAGCAUUUCGAGGACAAACGUAUGUUUAAGUGGGAGAAUAUAUAACGACCCGACCAAUUGUUUUGAUCUUUAGCGCGUUCUUCGGCGUUUUGAGGCCAUGACCAGCUUCACUUCAGGCAUCAUGACUUGUACGCAUGGUCAGAAUUGGAUUUUGGAAAGUUCGGAGUCGAUUUGGAAAGAGAACUCUUAUUUCGGAAGCUUUAAAUUGAAAGAAUUAACUAGGAUUAGAGUUUUGAGUAAACGACCUUGGAAUUGGGAUUCGAGGGUUUCAACAGGUUCGUAUAAUGAUUUCGGACUUGGGCGUAUGCCCGGAUUGAAUUUUGGAUUACCCGGAAACGUUUUGGCGCAUAUUAUGGAAGUUAGUAUUUUGGAAGAAAUUUCAUAAGUUUGGGUUGAAGUGCAUUUCAGUGUCAUCGAUGUCCGUUUGGGAUUCUGGUGUUGGGAGCACGAUCGAAAGGAAUUCGGAGGUCUGUAUAUCAUUUUGGGGUCAUUUGGCCAAAGAUAGAAAUUUAAAGGUUUUAUAGAGUUUGACCGAAAGUGGACCUUUCAAUAUCGUGGUCGGAAUCCAAUUCCAAAUUUGGAGUAGGUCUGUAACGUCAAAUAUAACUUGCGUACAAAACUUGAGGUAAAUGGGAUGUGAUUUGAUAAGUUUCAGCAUCGAGUGUAGAAGUUUGAAAGUCUAAGGUUCAUUAAGCUUGGAUUGGAGGUCGGUUCAUGAUUUUAGAGUUGUUUGAUAUAAUUUGAGGCCACGAGCAAGUCCUUAAUGUGUUUGGGACUAGUUGGUAUGAUUGGUUUGCGUCCCGGGGGGCCUCGGGUGGAUUCCAGGUUGUUAACAGAUCAAAUUUGGUGUUUGAAGAAGGGCUCAGCACCUAGUAUCUGGUGUAACCGCACAUGCGAGGUUGUGGCCGCAGAUGCGGAGCCGCAGAAACAGCAGGGGAGUUGCAGGAGCAAAAAGGGGCAGCCAAGGGAAGAUUCGCAGAUGCAGGGUAUUGGCCUCAUCUGCGCAACCACAAAUGCGAGGCGGAGGACAGCAGAAGCGGUGACUGUCACACCUCCUUUUUACCUGUGCCCGCAAGGGCGUAAGGGGAGUUUUUCCAAUUAAAGAACAAUCGAAACAGGAUUUAUUUAUUUAAUUCAGAGUCGCCACUUGGGAGAUUUAUGGUGUCUCAAGUCACUGGUUGAAUCCAGAAUCGAGGAAAAGAAUGGCUCUAUUUAAUAGUCUGCAAACCACAAAUCCGAGUAAGGAAUUCUGUUAAUCCGGGAGAAGGUGUUAGGCGUUCCCGGGUUCCGUGGUUCUAGCACGGUCGCUCAACUGUCAUAUUUAGCUUAAUUAUCUGAUUUUAUUACAUGUUGAAACUAUGUGCAAAUUUUAACUUUUAACUGCUCUUAUUUUAUUUUUUUUAAUAAUAAUAAUUUUUAACACAUGAUUGUUGAGAUUUAGAUUUGGGUCACAUAAAUGUACACCCAAAUUUAGGGAGGUAACUCGGGAGGUAAUAUUAUUAAACACGUGCUAAAGAGAUUAACGCGUUAUUAUUAUUUUAGGGAAAUUUGUGAAAUUCACUAAAGGGCCCGUCCCGAAAUCUAAGCAUUUCAGUAUAUAUAUUUAACGAGGUCCUCGCGAUGUACAUGUUUUGCGUUACGCUCGUCUCAUUUUUAUUUAUUAAUUAAAGGUCAGAUCUAGAGCAAAUCUAUAACUUUCUACUUAAUUUGUCUUUAAUAAAAUAAAAGUCCUAAUUAAUUUUGUCAUCGGCCCCAUACAAGUUAAGCGAUAAUUUUCGUGCCAUUAAGCUAAAAUAUGCCCGAAGACUAUGGAUUGAAGCAUCAUUCACCAAUGAGAAUCGGCCGAACGUAGGCCUUGGCCCAAGCCCAAACGAGAAACAAAUUCAAGAGGGGACCUGGGCCUGCGUUAGGCUUUUGGACUGGCUGUUAAGCCUUGCCUAAUUUACCAAAAAAUGGAGUUCCAAUUUCAACAACAAAAUAAAGAUAUGCCAGGUUAUUUCAAAUCAUUCCCAUAGGCAUUCAAAAACUGAUAAUGAGGAAUAAUGUGUACUUAUACAAGUUGACGGAGCACUAACCGUUUUAUCCACAUUUUUCGGACCUAGAUGCUUCAGUAGCAUUAUACGUGAAUAGGCUAUAUCUUAAACUUAACACCAAUUAAGUGGUUACUAACUACUUCAGACUAACCCUGCCAUUCCAGUAAUCGAAAACCGUUCGUUAUUCCUAGACUUUACACUAAUAACAACCUACGAAUUAAUGUUCAACUCGAUUUUCGGUCUUAACUAUAACUAACGUAAAGGUCUGACUACACUCCGUUGAAUCUAUAGGUUUAGAAGAGAUGAGUUCGAUUCUAGAAUUUUACAGUCCAGUAUAUAUAUAGUCUGAAUUGUACAGCACAAACUCAAACUAAAUAGAAGCCUAAACACAUUCAAAUCAUAAAAAAUCCUGAUCACAACUAAAUCAGCAGUCACUUAUAAAAGAAAAUAUGGCCAUUACUAAAGCCUCCAAUGAGAUUAGGCUCUCAUUUCAUCGCGAGGACCCAAAAAAGUUCGAAAACCAAACAAGGCCGAUAGAAAAGCCUCAAACGGAAUACCAAUACUCAAGGAUGAACCAAGGGACUGAAGAUAAACGAUCGACUGAUCCACCAACUGUCUCAAACCAAACAGACUUAAAGCACAAUGAGCUAAGGAACUGAAUCCAAACUGAGAACUUGAAAAGUAAUGAGCAGGAUCAAUAAAACACUACUCUAAAUAAACUCUCUACAGACUGCCUGAAAUUGAUUCCCAGACCUCCUAACAAUACACUCUGAAAUCUCUCUUAGACUGGUUAAGUACUGAAUUUUGAAGCCUCAAUGUCUAUCUCUGUCCGUGUGAAUCUAUCUUUAGACUUUUCUAUGUGUUUUUGACUUUAAGCUCUUACUGCCCAUUCAAAAUCUCCCCUUAAUGUCUCUACUGAUCUUUAUAUUUAUACCCAAACCUUAAACCGUUUCCAGCCCCUUUUCUUCUUUACAAUUGUAAAAAAGAUCUUUUAUUAUUACCCCAAGCUUCUUUUUACUUUCCAGCUUCUAUAUUCCUCUACUAUGUGUAUCAUUUUAGCUUUUCAUUAUUAUCCCCAUCUUUUUUACUUUUCAUCCCCUUUUCCUUUUUUAAUAACAUUAUGUCUUGUUCCCCACUACUCUUAAAUAAAUGUAUUAUUUUAAAGGUCCACUAGUACUCUAGACAGACCACUACUCAAAUCCCAAAUUACCUCCCUGGAAUAUUUGAAAUCACUAUCCUACCACAAACCCUUUCGAUUUAUACCAAAACUCAUCAGCUAUAACCAAAUUCAUCUUAUGAGCAAUCCUAUCAAUUGCCUAACUAAGCACAUGAAACUAUUCUAAUCAACUACAUUAUAUAACUUAGCAAGGUCAGAUUCAAAAUAGGAUAAACAUUGUGAUCCAAUUAAUGAAACUUAAUCAACAGCUCACGCUAGAACUACUGAAGCCAAUGAAUCAGAAACCCUGAACUUAAGAAAGACCCAGAUAUAACAUAUACGAGACAUUUUGAACCAACAGUAACAACAAAGGAUUACAAUUUUAUAUAACACUCACUAAACCUGCCUAACUCGAAAUACUCAAAAAUGCAUAGAAGAAACAGAAUCCAGAACAAACCAAACAGAUAUGAGAAUUGGACCAUACAGUUUGACAUGAUAAUUGGUAGGGGCACAUGGGAUUUGAGUGGUUUAACCCAAGGAGCUAUAAGAAAACUAUUUAUGAUUCAAAUAGUUUACAACAUACACUAAUUGAUAGGAGAAAACUAGACCAAGAAAAGGUCCGAUGGAGAAGGAAGAAAUAGUUGAUAGUAGACGAAUCACAUCAAAAUUUAAACAGAUAAACAACAACAAAUAUGGAAAAGGAAAAGGCGAAAAAUACCUCAAAAUUAGACCUAGCUCCCAUUUGUUUUGUCUGUAACUCCGAUUUGAAAUCCUGAGGCCAAAAUGGACCUUAAUAAACCCUGAGGCCAAAAUGGACCUUAAUCAAGUGCUGUCGAUUGUGAACACUCGACUAAGGUCGAUUAAAACCCCAAAUUUCCCUUAACUCGAACACAGGCUGGAGUUUGAUUAUUUUUAGGGCUUGCUCAGUCGAUUCGAAACUCGACGAGCUCUGGCUUGAUUCGAGUUAAAGUGGUGUUAUAUUUGGGACGAGGGUGGUCAAGUUGUCAAAGGGUGUGAGUUUGGUGGUCAUCGGACAGACUAGGGUUCGGGACCAAUUCUUUGAUCUAAGAUUCGAACAACUGGGGGAUGAUUCGGAGGAAAAUGAUUGAGGAUUUGGAAAUAGGACGUCGUGGGGAGGCUGUGGUGUAAAUUUUGGGCCAUUUGGAUCAUCGGAACCACAAUGAGGCGAUUUUCUGUAGGCGAAGUACGGUGGUGAAGGGUGGCGGACACAUUUGGUCUCUAAGGUUUGGAGAAGAAGAGAUGGGGGUUCU